UGGACGCAGAUUCGGGCUCACCGCGCGCAAACGCCCACAUCCUUAGGUCGGCUCUGCUUUCUUUAGGUGAAUGAAAGUUUCCUAGAAGGGGGACAGCAAAGAAGAUGAUAUCUGACCAGGAUGAGUCGGAAAGGUGAACUUAAAUAAGCAUAAGUGCGCGACAACCACCUGUUAUAAAUCAGCGCGAAAUGGGCAUGCUUAGUGUGGAUCUCCUGGUAACUUUGCAGAUCUUGCCUGGUUUCUUCUCCAACUGCCUGUUUUUCGUGCUCUAUGAUUCGAUAGUGCUGGUAAAGCGAGUGGUGUCACUCCUGAGCUGCUCGGGCUCCACGGGUGAGUGGCAGCGCAUGUUAACCACAGCCGGCGUGCGCUCCAUAUGGAACAGCUUUCUGAUGGAUGCCUACAAACAGGUGAAGCUGGGCGAAGCUGCUCCAAACUCCAAGGUGGUGAAGGUUGCUGGCAUCAACAGAUGCUGGAGCGUCAGCGGUAAGACCCACAACGAGUGCCAUCUGCUGGACUUCGAGUCUCCCGACCGCCCGUUAGUGGUCAACUUUGGCUCGGCCACCUGACCCCCAUUUAUAAGCCAACUGCCGGUUUUCCGGCGGAUGGUGGAGGAAUUCUCAGAUGUGGCAGACUUCCUGCUUGUCUACAUCGAUGAGGCUCACCCCUCAGACGGCUGGGCGGCUCCUCCCAUGGAGAACUUUUCGUUUGAAGUGAGGAAACACCGUAAUCUGGAGGAGAGAAUGUUUGCCGCCCGGACACUUCUGGAGCAUUUCUCUUUGCCUCCUCAGUGCCAAUUGGUAGCAGAUUGCAUGGACAACAAUGCCAACGUAGCCUACGGUGUGGCUUACGAGCGGGUUUGCAUUGUGCAGAAGAAUAAAAUCGCUUACCUAGGGGGUAAGGGUCCAUUUUUCUACAACCUUAAAAAUGUUCGGCACUGGCUCGAGAAGAGCUACGGGAAGCGAUAAUUUCUUUAAAAAAAGAGGUCAAAUAGCAUUUUCUGUGAAUGCUAUAAGAUUUUAUUUUUGUAUAAUGGAGAGAAAUCGAGAGUUAGGUGCUUUCUGAACUGUUUAACGGUGGCUCCGGUGGAAACACUUGGGCUAGGGUCCAGGUCAUUUUCUUGAAUUGUCUAAAAUGAUCAGCAGGUGUCCUACAUUCCUAACCACUUUACAAAAAGAAUGAAAAGAAUAUAGACUUUAAAUACUGACCGUGUGGUUUGCACUUAAAUUUCGAGAUUACAUUGUUGCCAGCAAAACAAUUUGUAGAUGCACUAUUAAUAACUUGUUCCUUUGCGAUUUAAUGUAGAGUUAAAGUGUGCAAUAUUUUUAUGCGACAUAACAUAUAUUGCUUACAAAAGAAAACCAAAUUGCUGAAAAUAAGAGAAAGCACAAGUACCCGGCUUUUAUAUGAAAAGAGAAUAAUUUAUUUUUAUUGACAUUCAAUGUUUAUUUUUAAUAUGUGGCCUGUUUAUGCGCUUGUAACGCUUUCCCUUCCCCUUUUCAACUGACAAUCAUACAUAUUCCAUGUACCAUCAGCUUUUACAUCCCUGAUACACUGUUCAGUUCAUUUGCACCGGUAAUAAAAGCAUUCCCGGCGUCCCAUUAUGAAAACGACUAACUCAUUCGACCCGUAUUGUAAUUAACAAUCACCAAAUGAAUGGCCUCAGCCACCGGACUUAGCUUCAGUGAAGUGUACAGGAAAGCUGAUGAAAAGUUAUUUUACUCCUGAAUGUUAGAGAAAAGUUUUCGAAUGUUAUCGACAGAUCGGCAGUCGCUUAUUUGGGUCAAUACGGCGCUGGUGUGCACAUGAAAAUCACAGACGAAAUGGUCUUCUGUCCUGUCUGUGGUUGGAUGACAGACCACACCUCUCUGUCCUGAUCCAAAUGAGCGUGACUGCUAACAUGCUGAAACAAUCACUCUGAAUCUGAAUCAGUCUGAAGGCUUUGAGUUUUGUUUCACAGAACUGUUUUCAUGUACUACAACCAUCCUCUUGCUUUUAAUGAGAAAAAGGCAAGGAAAAUAAAGUUGAACUGCUGCUGACUGUGACUUUCCCCCAGUUUUUGUGUUUGAUUCUGGGAAAUUUCAAUGAGGGGUGAUUGGAUUGAAAAAGGGGAGGGAAAAAGUUCCAGAUGGAGAAAAUGUUGCAUGAUGACCAAUAAAAAAAAAGGAAAAGGAAAUGCACCAGCCGUAAGGGGUCGAGGAGUACAUGUGCUUUUUUUCCCUCCCCAUUAAAUAUGUGUCUGCAUAGUGAUGGGUCUGAACAUGUGCAACACAAUCAAACCGUGUGACGCAGAGGUCUCUGGCUGAACUUCUGCGUCUUCGAGGCUGCCAAUAACUAAAUAGCAAAGGCUCAGGGAGAACAUGUCCCUGGGAAGCACCAUGAAACAGAACCCCUUGUUGUGGCCGGGCAUCGCUUAUCCGAGCGGAACUAGUCCAUUUGGACCACUAAGACGUUAUUCACAGACUGUCUCAGUCUUGGAAGGAAUCGUGCUGCACGAUGGAGCAGGGAGGUUGCCAACGUUAAAGAUGGAGGCAUCCGAAAAGAGAGCCACACAACAGCUACAAACACAAGCCCCACUCCAGGAAAGAGUCCCAUGGUGUGCUUUCUAAGGAAUGCGUUUGGUAAACAGGUACUGAACAGAAUUCUAAGCAGCGUGUGAAGAAGUGUUCUCAUUUAUAGGGCAUAACAAGGACGCGGGACGGAGGGGGGAAACCUGGUCCCAUUAAUUCAGAUAAGGUCAAAACGUGACUCCUUAGAAAAGCGGACGUUUGCCAAAUCGGCCAGUAUACAUUUAAACGAAAUGUUGAUGCAAGCGCUUAAAUGUAUGUGUCUGCAGUUCAAAAAGAUAAGCCGUUUAUGUUCAUACUUCGACAGUGGACUAUUUGGUUUGGAUGUGAUCUGACCGCUCUCUCGGAAAAAUGAUCUUAGUUUUAAUAUCAAUAUAUUCAGUAAAUCAGCUCAGAGUCCAACCCGAGGGAUGCCAAACAUUUUAUUCAUAUUUAACGCACUUUUUUCCUACAUGUAUAAAUCUGGGAAAAAGAAAAAUUCCUAAAGAUAAUCAGAUCUUAAAGGGAUAGCGCACUCAAAAAUGAAAAUUCUCUCAUUAUUUACAGUACUCAGCCUAAUGUUGUUCCAAACAAAAUGGAGUAUAUUUAAAAAAAUAAAAUAAAAUAAAAGUCAAUAUAGGGUCCAAACAUCUUAUUUUGAAAAUAAGUCCAAAGUUUUGAAACGGCGUGAGUGCGUAAAUGAUGACACAAUUUUCAUUUCUGGCUUAACUAUCCCUUUAAAAAACCUUUCUGAGAAUCGUAUGAUAUUAAGCGGUAAGGAUUUGACUGUAUUGCAUACAAAUCACAAAUCAAACUGGUCAAACACCUUCUUGCACUGUAAAUGUGAGUUCAUUUUCCUUUUUCAUAUACGCACCAGUCUAUACUGUCACAAUAAUCCACCCUAACAGUUCUUAUGUUAUCAACAACAUAAUCUUAUAUGUCUUGUUUUCAUUUGUCCUCUCUUUGACUCUGGUAAGAAUCUUAGCAGCUUUUGGAGAUGCACUUAGUCACUGAUACAGCACAUGGAUAAGACAAAAUUAUGCUUUUAUCUAAGUCUUAUAAAGGUUAGCUUGUAGAGCCAAGUAUUUGCACUUUGAAUUGAGUUCAAACUGAACAUGCUACAAAUAUUGUUGAUGCUUGAUGACCAGCCUGUGCUCGAAACACAUGUAAUUCAGCUAAAACCGUACAACCUGGAAUUCAUAAAACAUUAAAUAUCAUGUUUUACAGUUGAUUGUUUUAUGGCCUGAUAUAUGGUCAUAUCUGCAUAUGCAUGUAGCAAACUUAACUUAUGCUAAUCAACAUACUCUGGUUUCUAUACAUUACUGAUAGUAGAUAAGACUAUGGGAGUAUCACUAAGAGCUAUGCUCAAACUCAUAAUCAGAUUCACUUUUAUGCUUGAAACCGUUCUUGACCUGUAAGGUACAAACUGUCGGAUCAAUUUAUUACAAAAAUGAAAAUAUAUUAUUAUUAAUAAUAAUAGCGUUACUACUAUUAACACAAUCCUUCAUUUCAUUUCUUCCUGAUGCUGUGAAAGCCUAACAACUGAAACUGAACUUUUGGUAAGAAUUAAUACUGAAUGUAUUUUACAUAUAUUUUGAGAGGAACUAUUAAGAAUGUUGAUUGGCAGCUUGAUACAUGUGCCUUGUUUCCUACUAUGUUUAAUGCCAAGUUUGUUUUAUUGUGCCAUUUGGCUGAUUAAAGAUGCAGCAAAUUGGA